GGUCUCGUGGUGUAGUGGUUAUCAUACCUGUCUUACACACAGGCGGUCGCUGGUUCGAUCCCGGCCGGGACCA
rfam:Ceriporiopsis subvermispora B unplaced genomic scaffold CERSTscaffold_12, whole genome shotgun sequence.